CCUACGGGAGGCAGCAGUGGGGAAUAUUGGACAAUGGGGGAAACCCUGAUCCAGCGACGCCGCGUGAGUGAAGAAGUAUUUCGUUAUGUAAAGCUCUAUCAGCAGGGAAGAAAAUGACGGUACCUGACUAAGAAGCCCCGGCUAACUACGUGCCAGCAGCCGCGGUAAUACGUAGGGGGCAAGCGUUAUCCGGAUUUACUGGGUGUAAAGGGAGCGUAGACGGCAGUGCAAGUCUGGAGUGAAAUGCGGGGGCUCAACCCCCGGACUGCUAUGGAAACUGUACUGCUGGAGUGCAGGAGAGGUAAGUGGAAUUCCUGGUGUAGCGGUGAAAUGCGUAGAGAUUAGGAGGAACACCAGUGGCGAAGGCGGCUUACUGGACUGUAACUGACGUUGAGGCUCGAAAGCGUGGGGAGCAAACAGGAUUAGAUACCCCAGUAGUC
rnacentral:rRNA from 1 species